rnacentral:rRNA from 1 species
AGCUCCAAUAGCGUAUAUUAAAGUUGUUGCGGUUAAAAAGCUCGUAGUUGGAUCUCGGCGGGCAGGGGGUGGUUCGCUCUUCAGCGCUACUGCCCCGCUUUGCCCGUGUGAUUGGCGGAGGUUUCGGGGUGCUCUUCGUUGAGUGACUCGGAGCGCCGUCAGGUUUACUUUGAAAAAAUUAGAGUGCUCAAAGCAGGCUUUUCACGCUUGAAUAUUCGUGCAUGGAAUAAUGGAAUAGGAACUCGUUUCUAUUUUGUUGGUUUUCGGAAAUCGAGUUAAUGAUUAACAGGGACAAUUGGGGGCAUUAGUAUUCAGACGACAGAGGUGAAAUUCUUGGACCGUCUGAAGACUGACUACUGCGAAAGCAUUUGCCAAGAGUGUUUUCAUUAAUCAAGAACGA